CCCAGGACGCAAGAUUGCAAGUUCAAGCCCAGCCUGGGGAACUUAGUGACUUCAGGAGACUCUUCAGGAAGGCAAGGCUGGAGGGCUGUAUAGCGACGGCCUCUUGCCUUCUCUGCUGCAGGAAACUAGUGUCAACAUCCUGGAGUCCACAGGCAAAAGACACAGCUGAUGACGAUGGGCC
rnacentral:lncRNA from 1 species